AUAAGAGGUCCAGCCUGCCCAGUGAUACUAUUAAACGGCCGCGGUACCCUGACCGUGCGAAGGUAGCAUAAUAACUUGUUCUUUAAAUGGGGACUAGCAUGAACGGCAUCACGAGGGUCUCACUGUCUCCUUUUUCUAAUCAGUGAAACUGAUCUUCCCGUGAAGAAGCGGGGAUUAAACUAUAAGACGAGAAGACCCCAUGGAGCUUUAAACCCAAUAGACACCUCUGACUAAUCUAACCCACCAUACUUCUUAAGUUCUGCCUAUUGGUUUUAGGUUGGGGUGACCACGGAGUACAACAAAUCCUCCAUGACGUACGGGACUUCCCUCUUAUCCUUGAACCACACUUCUAAGAAUCAACAAAUUGACGUUUAAUGACCCAAUAUAUUGAUCAACGGACCAAGUUACCCUGGGGAUAACAGCGCAAUCCAUUUUAAGAGCCCCUAUCGCCAAAUGGGUUUACGACCUCGAUGUUGGAUCAGGGUAUCCUAGUGGUGCAGCCGCUACUAAUGGUUUGUUUGUUCAACAAUUAAAACC
rnacentral:rRNA from 1 species